UCUAGGCUCAGUUAUGUUACUUUUGUGUGUGUGUUCCUUCCCAGGCUUGAAUAUACAUGCUCUGGAAAGUGGUAAAUGGGCAUUUAUCAAUACAUUUGAUUGCAACCACUGCCUGAAGAUGGAGAUCCUUUAGCAAGAGUCCCAGGAACCUGAUGCUCUGGUUUUUCCUUUUGGGACUGCAGAGAAAAAACAGCAUCUGGUGUUUGAGGAUGCUGGAGAUUUACACCAUAUUAUGUGUAAUAUCUCUACUGUAAAUAAACAAAAUGAAUAAUUAAAUGAAUAACGAGGUGUCCUGAAUUACAACUUCUCUGGCUGCAUCUAUGGAAAAUCAAAGGAACACAUGAAGGAAAUUCAGACACAGCAGUUAAAAAAAGGAAGAAGCUCAGGAGAAACAGG